AUUUUACCCAAAUGAAAGUCCAUAGUUAUAGAAGAAUUCAAGAUUGGUUGAUUUACUAAUUUAAAAAUGUCAUCAGAUAGUGAAGUUCUUUCUACUCUGCCAACUUCUGGGUAUAGAUUUGGUUCCCAGAGAAGGAAGAAAUUUCAUUUUCUCCUCUCUUUCAUGGUAGUGAGGAAAUCUUUUCUAAACCCCUCCCCCUAGCUGACUGUUUCUCAUUGAGUCACAUUCCCAUUCCUACCCCAAUCACUGGCAAGACAAAUGGGAUGAUCACAAUUGACCUGUACCAAUCACCUGCUGAGUGGAAUGGAUAAUGAGGAGUCAACCAUAAUAAACAUUAUAUAGCACCAAGGAACUGCUGUAGAGGCAACGCUUCCUCACCAGGUCUUACUCAUGUCCUCUGCUUCCUUUGCCCUCAGAUUCUGAGUUACUCACAUUCAUCCCUUAAUUCCAAACCAGCCCAUGCUAAAAAGUUUACUUCUUUUUUUUUUUUUUUUUUUAAGACAGUCUCCCUCUGUCGCCCAGGCUGCAGUGCAGUGGCACAAUCUCAGCUCACUGGAACCUCCACCUCCCGGGUUCAAGUGAUUCUCAUGCUUCAGCCUUCUGAGUUACCGGGACUACAGGUAUGCACCACCAUGCCCGGGUAAUUUUUGUAUUUUUAGUAGAGAUGGGGAUUUCACCAUGUUGGCCAGCCUGGACUGGAACUCCUGACCUCAAGUGAUCUGCCUGCCUUGGCCUCCCAAAUUGCUAAGAUUACAGGCAUGAGCCACUGUGCCUGGCUAGAGUGUUUUCUUAAUAUGAUAUUUGUAGCACAUUCUCAUUCUUUCAUUUCUCUAUCUGCAAUUAUUAAAAAUAUAAAUUUCAGAUAAGAGUAUCUUUAUCAGCUUAAAUUCUGUACAUCAUUGCUUCUGUUCCUAGUAGCUGUUAAAAAUAUGUGUGAAGCACCAGACCUCAAGGAAGGGAAACUCUGUUUUCAUGCCUUCUUUGCAAAAACAGGCCAUUUAAAAAAAGAUUUUCUUUGCCCUGCUGUGGAAUUUGGAAGAAAGGGAAAAGGACUGAAGAAAACAGACAGUGAGACUGAUCCAAAAACUCCCAUGUAUAUACAAACACAUGAAAAAUGUCACCAAAAUGUUAAUGGCAGUUAUGUUACAGUUGCAUCAGGGAUGGGCUUUCAGUGCAUGACAUCUACAAGUGUACAAGAUGGUACUGGAUCCAGUGAGGAAGACAAAAAGUCUGGCAGGAAUGUGAGAGAGACUGGGAAGAAUUGGCUCAAUAUGAUGAUGGAGUUCAGAGAGCUAAAUGAAGUUCUGAGAAGUCACUGUUUUAAAUGGCUUAGCCAUGUGGAGGUGAGAAACCCC
ensembl:lincRNA